rnacentral:lncRNA from 1 species
GUGCAUUGUGGGAAGCGCCUUAUAAUUCACCGCGAAGUUACCGGGAGCCAGGAGAACGUAGCUUAAAGGAGAAUGAGUCGACGUUGGAAAUGUCAUAGACCGUAAAAAGCUUGAGUUCGCACCCAGGCAUCACGGGGUUUUUAAGGGUUUGGAUACGAGCGAAUAUUAGGGAUACAUUUUGAAGACUGGAGUCAAAAACUUAAUGCAAGAGUUUGAGGCAGCAGUGUUCCCCGAAGCCCAAGUUUUUAAUUAGUUUAGAAAUUUGUUGAACAUUCGUCUCCUAAAUGUUAUUCUCGCUGACCUCAAUUUUCUGUAUCCAGAAGAAAAUUAUAUAUAUAUAUAAUCUCCAUCCCUUUGGUUCUAGAAAAAUUAAUUCCUAAAAAAGGAAGUUUAUCAUACCCUCAAAGCUACCCAGACAAAGCAGGCACUUUGGGGAAAGAAAUGGUAAUGCUGGGGAACCAGGAGGCUUUGUGCAGCUUCUGGCAGUAACCAGGGUUAGCAAAUCUCCAUUCGGGCUGCUAAAGUGGGCUUUGGCUGCCCGAGUCCUCCAGCGUGAGCUAGAAGAGACGUCUCUAUGAUCAAUUAAACAUAGAGUGGGUCCUCUCUUCCCCGCCGGGCGGACGUGCACACGAGCUGUAAUUGCAGCACUGGAAAGAUGGCGGAGGAAGAGCAAAGAAAAAAGAUCCCUUUGGUUCCAGAAAAUCUCCUGAAAAAGAGGAAGGCUUAUCAGGCCCUCAAAGCUACCCAAGCAAAGCAGGCACUUUUGGCAAAGAAGGAGGAUUGAUGGDGUGAGUUUACURGUGCAGAGGACCAUUGCAAGACUUCGUCUGAAGAAAAUAUUUAGUGGUGUCUUUGUUAAAGUCACCCCCAAAAGCCUAAAAAUGCUACGGAUAGUAGAACCUUACGUGACCUGGGGGUAAGUAAGGUUUUCUCUGUGAAUUCACAAUAGCUUAUAUUUCAGUGUGUGAGUGUGCACAAGAUAUUACUUUCAUGUCACUAUGUUGGAUAUUGAGUAUGAUCAUAGUCACCAGAAAUCAAGAACUUUGGCACAUGGGACAGGCCAAGGGAGGAGAUCAGUGAUGCUAAUAAUGGUCUGACAUUACCAUAGCAGGGCUUAGGCUGAGUAAGAUGAGUAAAAGAGCUGGAUACAGUGG